AAACUGGGGAACUUGAGUGCAGAAGAGGAGAGUGGAAUUCCACGUGUAGCGGUGAAAUGCGUAGAGAUGUGGAGGAACACCAGUGGCGAAGGCGACUCUCUGGUCUGUAACUGACGCUGAGGAGCGAAAGCGUGGGGAGCGAACAGGAUUAGAUACCCUGGUAGUCCACGCCGUAAACGAUGAGUGCUAAGUGUUAGGGGGUUUCCGCCCCUUAGUGCUGCAGCUAACGCAUUAAGCACUCCGCCUGGGGAGUACGGUCGCAAGACUGAAACUCAAAGGAAUUGACGGGGGCCCGCACAAGCGGUGGAGCAUGUGGUUUAAUUCGAAGCAACGCGAAGAACCUUACCAGGUCUUGACAUCCUCUGACAAUCCUAGAGAUAGGACUUCCCCUUCGGGGGCAGAGUGACAGGUGGUGCAUGGUUGUCGUCAGCUCGUGUCGUGAGAUGUUGGGUUAAGUCCCGCAACGAGCGCAACCCUUGAUCUUAGUUGCCAGCAUUCAGUUGGGCACUCUAAGGUGACUGCCGGUGACAAACCGGAGGAAGGUGGGGAUGACGUCAAAUCAUCAUGCCCCUUAUGACCUGGGCUACACACGUGCUACAAUGGACAGAACAAAGGGCAGCGAAACCGCGAGGUUAAGCCAAUCCCACAAAUCUGUUCUCAGUUCGGAUCGCAGUCUGCAACUCGACUGCGUGAAGCUGGAAUCGCUAGUAA
rnacentral:rRNA from 1 species